rnacentral:rRNA from 1 species
CCUACGGGUGGCUGCAGUGAGGAAUAUUGGUCAAUGGGCGCAAGCCUGAACCAGCCAAGUAGCGUGCGGGAUGACUGCCCUACGGGUCGUAAACUGCUUUUGUACAGGGAUAACAUGCUCCACUUGUGCCUUUUUGCAUGUACCUUGCGAAUAAGGGCCGGCUAAUUCCGUGCCAGCAGCCGCGGUAAUACGGAGGGCCCGAGCGUUAUCCGGAUUUAUUGGGGUUAAAGGGAGCGUAGGCGGGGUGUUAAGUCAGGUGUAAAAGUUGGCGGCUCAACCGGAAAAUUGCAAUUGAAACUGGAAGCCUUGAGUACAGUUGAGGCAGGCGGAAUUCGUGGUGUAGCGGUGAAAUGCAUAGAUAUCACGAAGAACCCCGAUUGCGAAGGCAGCCUGCUAAGGUGCGACUGACACUGAGGCUCGAAAGUGUGGGUAUCAAACAGGAUUAGAUACCCCUGUAGUC